UACGGGGGGGGCAAGCGUUGUUCGGAAUUACUGGGCGUAAAGGGCUCGUAGGCGGCCAACUAAGUCGGAUGUGAAAUCCCCAGGCUUAACCUGGGAACUGCAUCCGAUACUGGAUGGCUUGAAUCCGGGAGAGGGAUGCAGAAUUCCCGGUGUAGCAGUGAAAUGCGUAGAGAUCGGGAGGAACAUCCGUGGCGAAGGCGACUACCUGGACCAGCACUGACACUGAGGCACGAAAGCGUGGGGAGCAAACAGG
rnacentral:rRNA from 1 species